rnacentral:rRNA from 1 species
GACGAACGCUGGCGGCGUGCCUAAUACAUGCAAGUCGAACGCAUUUUCUUUCACCGUAGCUUGCUACACCGAAAGAAAGUGAGUGGCGAACGGGUGAGUAACACGUGGGUAACCUGCCCAUCAGCGGGGGAUAACACUUGGAAACAGGUGCUAAUACCGCAUAAUUCCAUUUACCGCAUGGUAGCUGGAUGAAAGGCGCUUUUGCGUCACUGAUGGAUGGACUCGGGGUGCAUUAGCUAGUUGGUGGGGUAACGGCCUACCAAGGCUGCGAUGCAUAUCCGACCUGAGAGGGUGAUCGGCCACACUGGGACUGAGACACGGCCCAGACUCCUACGGGAGGCAGCAGUAGGGAAUCUUCGGCAAUGGACGCAAGUCUGACCGAGCAACGCCGCGUGAGUGAAGAAGGUUUUCGGAUCGUAAAACUCUGUUGUUAGAGAAGAACAAGGAUGAGAGUGGAAAGUUCAUCCCUUGACGGUAUCUAACCAGAAAGCCACGGCUAACUACGUGCCAGCCGCCGCAGUAACAC